rnacentral:rRNA from 1 species
CUGACGAGCACGCCGCGUGAGUGAGAAGGUUUUCGGAUCGUAAAGCUCUGUUGUAAGUCAAGAACGUGUGUGAGAGUGGAAAGUUCACACAGUGACGGUAGCUUACCAGAAAGGGACGGCUAACUACGUGCCAGCAGCCGCGGUAAUACGUAGGUCCCGAGCGUUGUCCGGAUUUAUUGGGCGUAAAGGGAGCGCAGGCGGUCAGGAAAGUCUGGAGUAAAAGGCUAUGGCUCAACCAUAGUGUGCUCUGGAAACUGUCUGACUUGAGUGCAGAAGGGGAGAGUGGAAUUCCAUGUGUAGCGGUGAAAUGCGUAGAUAUAUGGAGGAACACCAGUGGCGAAAGCGGCUCUCUGGUCUGUCACUGACGCUGAGGCUCGAAAGCGUGGGUAGCGAACA